rnacentral:misc_RNA from 1 species
UUUCCGUAGGUGAACCUGCGGAAGGAUCAUUCAUAGUAAAGUGUUUUAUGGCACUUUUUAAAAAUCCAUAUCCACCUUGUGUGCAAUGUUAGAUCUCGUCAAUCUUGGCGAGAUUUUUAUACAUCAACUCAUUCUUUAACUAAUUUGUCUGAAAAAUAUUAUGAGUACUUAAUUCAAAAUACAACUUUCAACAACGGAUCUCUUGGCUCUC